AUUGAACGCUGGCGGCCGGCCUAACACAUGCAAGUCGAACGAGUGGCGGACGGGUGAGUAAUGUCUGGGAAACUGCCUGAUGGAGGGGGAUACUACUGGAAACGGUAGCUAAUACCGCAUCCCAUCAGAUGUGCCCAGUUGGGAUUAGCUUGUUGGUGGGGUAACGGCUCACAAAGGCGACUAUCCCUAGCUGGUCUGAGAGGAUGACCAGCAAACCUGGAACUGAGACAGUGUCCAGACUCCGACGGGAGGAAGCAGUGGGGAAUAUUGCACAAUGGGAGCAAGCCGGAUGCAGCCAUGCCGCGGGUAUGAAGAGGGCCUUCGGGUUGUAAAGUACUUUCAGCGGGGAGGCGUUACCCGCAGAAGAAGCACCGGCUAACUCCGUGCCAGCAGCCGCGGUAAUAC
rnacentral:rRNA from 1 species